GCCGAGGUAGCCAAGUGGCCUAAGGCGCCGGUCUUGAAAACCGGUGUUCCUCUGGAACGCAAGGGUUCAAAUCCCUUCCUCGGCG
rnacentral:tRNA from 1 species